UACAGAGGGUGCGAGCGUUAAUCGGAAUUACUGGGCGUAAAGGGCGCGUAGGCGGAUUAAUUGGUGAGAUGUGAAAGCCCUGGGCUUAACCUAGGAAGUGCGUUUCAAACGAUUAAUCUGGAGUAUGGGAGAGGGUAGUGGAAUUUCCGGUGUAGCGGUGAAAUGCGUAGAGAUCGGAAAGAACGUCAAUGGCGAAGGCAGCUACCUGGCCUAAUACUGACGCUGAGGCGCGAGAGCGUGGGGAGCAAACAGG
rnacentral:rRNA from 1 species